rnacentral:rRNA from 1 species
AUUGAACGCUGGCGGCAUGCCUUACACAUGCAAGUCGAACGGCAGCACGGGGGCAACCCUGGUGGCGAGUGGCGAACGGGUGAGUAAUGCAUCGGAAUGUACCCAGUAGUGGGGGAUAACUAGUCGAAAGACUGGCUAAUACCGCAUACGCACUAUGGUGGAAAGCGGGGGAUCGCAAGACCUCGCGCUAUUGGAGCAGCCGAUGUCCGAUUAGGUAGUUGGUGGGGUAAAGGCCUACCAAGCCUGCGAUCGGUAACUGGUCUGAGAGGACGACCAGUCACACUGGGACUGAGACACGGCCCAGACUCCUACGGGAGGCAGCAGUGGGGAAUUUUGGACAAUGGGCGCAAGCCUGAUCCAGCAAUGCCGCGUGUGUGAAGAAGGCCUUCGGGUUGUAAAGCACUUUUGUCAGGAACGAAACAGUGUCCGCUAAUACCGGGCGCGAAUGACGGUACCUGAAGAAUAAGCACCGGCUAACUACGUG